UUAAAAGUUAAAUGAGUGCACUUUAUUGUGGCUCAAACCUCUUUUAACAUCAACCCAUUUUUUAAACCCAAAGCUGUCUUGUGUGCUUUCUUGAUUGAGAGUAUAGCAUUUCAGUAGUACGCAUCAGGGACAAUUUAUUGUUCAGGUUGCAUUACCCCCCCUUAUAAGUGACCCCCCCAUUUUUUGAAGUCAUUAACACAUUAAAAAAAGUUUUAAGAAUGUAAACCCCCUUUAAAAUGAAAAUAU
rnacentral:misc_RNA from 1 species